rnacentral:rRNA from 1 species
UACGUAGGGGGCGAGCGUUGUCCGGAAUUACUGGGCGUAAAGCGCGUGUAGGCGGUUUUGGAAGUCGGGUGUGAAACCCGCCGGCUCAACCGGCGGCCUGCACCCGAUACUCCAGGGCUUGAGGGCAGGAGAGGGAAGCGGAAUUCCCGGUGUAGCGGUGGAAUGCGUAGAUAUCGGGAGGAACACCAGUGGCGAAGGCGGCUUCCUGGUCUGCACCUGACGCUGAGACGCGAAAGCUAGGGGAGCAAACGGGAUUAGAUACCCCCGUAGUCC